AUGAACGCUGGCGGCGUGCCUAAUACAUGCCAGUCGAGCGAACAGACGAGGAGCUUGCUCCUCUGACGUUAGCGGCGGACGGGUGAGUAACACGUGGAUAACCUACCUAUAAGACUGGGAUAACUUCGGGAAACCGGAGCUAAUACCGGAUAAUAUAUUGAACCGCAUGGUUCAAUAGUGAAAGACGGUUUUGCUGUCACUUAUAGAUGGAUCCGCGCCGCAUUAGCUAGUUGGUAAGGUAACGGCUUACCAAGGCGACGAUGCGUAGCCGACCUGAGAGGGUGAUCGGCCACACUGGAACUGAGACACGGUCCAGACUCCUACGGGAGGCAGCAGUAGGGAAUCUUCCGCAAUGGGCGAAAGCUUGACGGAGCAACGCCGCGUGAGUGAUGAAGGUCUUCGGAUCGUAAAACUCUGUUAUUAGGGAAGAACAAAUGUGUAAGUAACUAUGCACGUCUUGACGGUACCUAAUCAGAAAGCCACGGCUAACUACGUG
rnacentral:rRNA from 1 species